GAUAUCAAGUGUUGAUGAAAAAGGAAGGAUGGAGGAAAAAUGGACCAAAACAGACUAAAACAGACCUUCAAAUGAACUCUAUAAGGUGCAAUAAAAUUGUUUAUCAUCUUAAAGUUGUCUUUUGUAUUCUAUUUAAUUGUUUGAAUGCAUAGAUCAUGAGUUUAUGAUCAGAUAUUAGUCAACACUGCAUUUUAUAAUGAUACACUGAAAUAAGGAUUUUUCGAAGAAAUUUGACUGAAAUUGCCAAAAGGAUAUGACCUUACAUUAUAGUGAUUUUCUCUGAAACUAUAGCUCUGACUGAGACAAAACUUGACAGUUAUGCUUGAAGUAACUUGCAAUUGGAGGGAAAAAAAUUACAUUUAGUUUAUUUGACAUUUAGGUGUUUUUUAGGGAAACUACAUGUGCACUCGUGACCUUAUUGUACUUUCAUUUUUAAAAGUUUUUAAUAAACCAGUUCAUACAUUGUAAACAUGGACUUUUCGGAAUGGAUUUAGACACAGAAAGCACGUUUGAGUGUAAACCAUGUUCUGAAGAGCAUUCUGUUGAAAAAUCUUAUAUGUGAAUUGGUCUGCAGAUGACACUUCAGCAUUAGAACAAAAGAUAUCAAGUGUUGAUGAAAAA